UACGUAGGGUGCGAGCGUUGUCCGGAAUUAUUGGGCGUAAAGAGCUUGUAGGCGGUCUGUCGCGUCUGCUGUGAAAAUCCGGGGCUCAACCCCGGACUUGCAGUGGGUACGGGCAGACUAGAGUGCAGAAGGGGCAACUGGAAUUCUCGGUGUAGCGGUGAAAUGCGUAGAUAUCGAGAGGAACACCUGCGGCGAAGGCGGGUUGCUGGGCUGACACUGACGCUGAUGCGCGAAAGCCAGGGGAGCGAACGGG
rnacentral:rRNA from 1 species